GUUUCUAUGAAAUAUUUUUUAAAUAAGGGAGAUAAUUUGUUUCUUCCGGUUUGAAAAAUGUUUCUUCUGGUAUUAUUUGAAAGUUUACUUGACACUGAUUCCAAAAAUAUCUCGUUUUAUAUACUUUUAUAUUAAUAAAGUACAAAAAAAUAGCUACUUCCGGUUUACACAAGGCCACUUCCGGUUGGCUUUUCCAAGGUUAAAUGGCUUGAAACCUGAUGCAAAAAGUCCCAUGGAUUUAUCAUGUAUACAUAUGAGGUAAAAGCAAAGGUCAAAAUCUAGAACGUCAAUUUAACCUAUGACCUUGAGCUCAAUUUCAAGGUCAUCAACCAAGGACCUCAAAUCAAAAGACCCUAGGUCUUAAUUAUAUUUGGUUCAUGAGUUAUAUUACCAUAUGCAUAUUUUGAAAUAAAAGAGGGG
rnacentral:lncRNA from 1 species